rnacentral:rRNA from 1 species
AUUGAACGCUGGCGGCAGGCCUAACACAUGCAAGUCGAACGGUAACAGGAAGAAGCUUGCUUCUUUGCUGACGAGUGGCGGACGGGUGAGUAAUGUCUGGGAAACUGCCUGAUGGAGGGGGAUAACUACUGGAAACGGUAGCUAAUACCGCAUAACGUCGCAAGACCAAAGAGGGGGACUUUCGGGCCUCUUGCCAUCGGAUGUGCCCAGAUGGGAUUAGCUAGUAGGUGGGGUAACGGCUCACCUAGGCGCCGCUCCCUAGCUGGUCUGAGAGGAUGGCCAGCCACACUGGAACUGAGACACGGCCCAGACUCCGACGGGAGGCAGCAGUGGGGAAUAUUGCACAAGGGGGGAAAGCCUGAUGCAGCCAUGCCGCGUGUAUGAAGAAGGAGUUCGGGUUGUAAAGUACUUUCAGCGGGGAGGAAGGGAGUAAAGUUAAUACCUUAGCUCAUUGACGGUACCCGCAGAAGAAGCACCGGCUAACUCCGUG